GUUAGCUCUAAGACAAUGAAUUCUGCCUUUCUUACAGCCAGUUCAUAGCAAUGAUUCUAGUGGUUAUGGAAGACUUGGUAGCAAUGGGUCUUACGAACAUUACAUCAGCAUAGCGUCCUCUAGUGACUCCAGUGGGAAUUGUGCUGAGGAAAUACAGCAGAACUAAUGACAUUGCAGCAGGUCUGUGCCAAUGUGAACUGAAUAAAGAAUCUGGGUCAACACCUGCAUAGUAAAUCACAGAGCAAACUGCAGAACAGAAAGGAUCCAGUCCUAGAUACUGUACUGCAGGGAGGCAAACAGAACACUGCUUCGUAUAUUCUCCAGGCACUGAGAAGUAACAUCACUGAAGGCCCAGAGAGUUCAUCCUGUGAUGAUUCAAGGAAGAUACAACAUGUUCUAGCCUACCAGCAGAGCAGCUGUGAGGACAGUAUCAUCAUGUGAAGUGACUGCAAUAGAAGAUGCCACUGUGGAGUAUGAACAAAUUGAGCUGCCUCCUCUGAAUGCUCAGAGUCCCA
rnacentral:lncRNA from 1 species